rnacentral:rRNA from 1 species
GACGAACGCUGGCGGCGUGCUUAACACAUGCAAGUCGAACGGAAAGGCCCUGCUUUUGUGGGGUGCUCGAGUGGCGAACGGGUGAGUAACACGUGAGUAACCUGCCCUUGACUUUGGGAUAACUUCAGGAAACUGGGGCUAAUACCGGAUAGGAGCUCCUGCUGCAUGGUGGGGGUUGGAAAGUUUCGGCGGUUGGGGAUGGACUCGCGGCUUAUCAGCUUGUUGGUGGGGUAGUGGCUUACCAAGGCUUUGACGGGUAGCCGGCCUGAGAGGGUGACCGGCCCCAUUGGUCCUGAGAUACGGCCCAGCCUCCUACGGGAGGCAGCCGUGGGGAUUAUUGCACAAUGGGCGGAAGCCUGAUGCAGCCCCGCCGCGUGCGGGAUGACGGCCUUCGGGUUGUAAACCGCUUUCGCCUGUGACGAAGCGUGAGUGACGGUAAUGGGUAAAGAAGCACCGGCUAACUACGUG